UAACAUGUUAACAACCUUAUUUAUUAUUGUGGAUCUCUGAAUGUUGCUGUCACGAUGCUUCCUAUAACUGAAUUUGGUUGCUUCCUGUUAAAUGAAUGAUUCUGUGAUUUUGCCUUUGGAGCUGCAUGAACGCUUGAUUGUAGUGUAUUUGCAAGUUUUGCUUUUUAGUAAGCAUGUUGAUGUUGGUUGAUUUUAUUCUUAAAUUAAAUUCUGCAACUAGGAAAAGUAUCUUAGUUUGGAGUGAGAUCAAGAAUAAGUUGGGGGGGGGGGGGUAGAGAGCAUGGUUUUAAAUCGCGGUCGUAGAUAAUGGAAACAGGCCUGUAACGUAGGUAACGGUCUGGCACUAUACAAAUUUUUGAAAAAAAAUUGCAAAGUUCAUAAAUAAAAUGAUAUUGAUUAGAUUUAAUUCAGAACAAUAUGUAUAAAUAUAUAAAAUAUAGAUUAUUUAACUUAAGUUAAACAUCAUAUAGUUUAAAAUAAGAAAAACCAACAUAAUCUUUAUAAAUCGAGUAAAUUAAUAGCUCAAAAUAUAAUUUUAACUCAAAACUAAUUCUUUAAUCCACAAAAUUAAAAAAAAAGGAAAAAAAAACUAAAAACUAAAAUAGAUAAAAUUUAAAACUUUUUAGAAGAAAUAAGUUUUAAAAUAGAGUAGUUUACGAUGGAUCUAAGCUUAUAGGAGAAAUAUGCAAGGAAGAUUUGAAUUUGAAAGAGAAAGGGGAGAGAAAACUUAAAAAAUAUAGUCUUUGAAGCUAUUGAAAAGUGUAGAAACUAAUGAAAAUGAGAAUAGGGGGCAUAAGAGGAAGGAUAUAAAAGAAUUUUAAUUACUGGUAACGGCCGUUACCGUUACGUAACGGCCGUUAUGUCUGCAAAUUAGGGGGCCGUUAUAUAACGGGUAACGGUCCUUCAAAACCCGUUACAUAAUGGCCGUUAUUUAAAACCAUGGUAGAGAGGGACUCUUAGGAUGCUUAAGUGGCUAAAGUUUAGAGUAGUCAACUAUCCUAUAACCAUGGACAGGCACUGGAGAAGGUUGCAAGGGAGUUCACAACCUCCCUUGGAUAUUUGCAUAGAGUUCUUCAUGCUUUUAAACAUGCCUACAAAUUUUAUUCAUGUUACUCACAAAAUUUUGAAGGAAAUAGCAUCUCAUGUAUAAUCAUUCAUAGGUGCACAAUAGAAUCCACUCUAAGCACUCAGUUUUUCCCCUGAAGUCUUUUGUGCAGUCAUGCACUCAAUGGUCCGAUGAGUAACUUUGUAAAAACUAAAGGGUUUACCGACGUAUAGUGGAGAGUGGAGGGAACACAUGAUUAUGAGGUAACUAAAGGAAAUAAGAACUUGAGGCCUAAAAAGAAGGAAAAGUGACUGCCUGUUCUUUCAGUUUCUCUUUCAUUCUGAAAAAUCAAGAAUCCCUUGGUAUUUAAAAUUUAUGUCUUGGAAACAUUACUUUGUUCUUUUCAUUUUUAUGUAUCAAUUCAUAAUUAAUUGAGUUUUUUUAAUGCCUGCACAUUUUGAUCUAUAUGUAUAAACUCAUUUUAUGUAUCAAUCCUACUUAAAUGCAACUUCCCUUAUGUAUGCUUCCUAUGUAUUACUAAUACAUACGCUUGGUUGAAGAAACUCAACACACAAGUUUGUGUACCCAUUUUCUCUUUCAUUUUCCUUUUUCGCUCUUCUGAUUUAAUCUUUGUUGAAGCUGACUUAAAAUAUUUAUUUAUUUUUUCUGUUGUUUCUAUUGUUGGUAUUGUUAUUAUUAUUAUUAUUAUUACUAUUAUUGUAAAAGCAUCAAUUUUUAAAUACUAUAAGCUGUUUCCAGUUACAUAUGUGAUUUUAUCUGUAAUCCACCUUAGGAAUUUUUCUGGGAAUAUUGAUAAAAUCAUGAACUCAAAAAAAAAAAAUUUACAUUUUCUGUUUAAAAUA